UAGGCGUUUUCAUAUGUGUUGCAUGCUUUUUUUUUUGAAUGGAUGGCCUUUCUCUAACCUCUCAAUUCAGAAGUAAUAAGAGCCAGCCCCCCUCAUGUGACAAGCAGCGUGCAAUUGGCCAGCCCCUUGGCGGGCUCUCUUAUAAGAACUCCCGGUAUCUGUCUCCUGUGUGACUUGCCUGGAGCUUUUACUCCUUAAGCUGAGCUAGGACCAGUCUCAGUCGAGCACAGCUCACUGGCUUGUGAUAACGUUAUCUGUGGGCUCGGCCUCCUCUCGCAGAAAGACAAUGAAUGAGCUGUGAAAAAGAAACUGACUUGGGCAUGGACUAUUGAUUGACUGAACUGCAAACUGCACAGGAAUGAAAUGCUGACAACUGCUCAGAUCCUUCUCAGAUGGGACUGGUCUAUGGAUGUGUGGGGGAAAAAGGGGAGGAGGAGCAGGCAUGAAAAGAGAGAGACACACAGACAGAGAGCGAGAGAGAGAGAAAGAGAGAGAGAGAGACUUUAAUUCCAAUUUCUGCUGCAGAUAGAAAGAAGGAACUACCAAGUCUCACACUCGGCGGCAAGCAUCAGGAAGAACUGCUCAGCUCAGACAGACUGAUCAUUAUGGCCCAAGCACAGAACUAUGGAGGAGAAUGCCUACCUUUCUUUAUUCACGUAAGUUCAUUUUUGUUAAGUUUGACAAAG